CCUACGGGUGGCAGCAGUGAGGAAUAUUGGUCAAUGGACGAGAGUCUGAACCAGCCAAGUAGCGUGAAGGAUGACUGCCCUAUGGGUUGUAAACUUCUUUUAUAUGGGAAUAAAAUGUUCCACGUGUGGGAUUUUGUAUGUACCAUAUGAAUAAGGAUCGGCUAACUCCGUGCCAGCAGCCGCGGUAAUACGGAGGAUCCGAGCGUUAUCCGGAUUUAUUGGGUUUAAAUGGAGCGUAGGUGGAUUGUUAAGUCAGUUGUGAAAGUUUGCGGCUCAACCGUAAAAUUGCAGUUGAAACUGGCAGUCUUGAGUACAGUAGAGGUGGGCGGAAUUCGUGGUGUAGCGGUGAAAUGCUUAGAUAUCACGAAGAACCCCGAUUGCGAAGGCAGUUCACUGGACUGCAACUGACACUGAGGCUCGAAAGUGUGGGUAUCAAACAGGAUUAGAUACCCUAGUAGUC
rnacentral:rRNA from 1 species